GAGGUCUCCGCAUUGUUGUCACCUGCAUUGUCCCACCCUUUCCCCUAGGAAGUGGCGGCUUCUCAGUGGUGCUGUACAAGUGGGUGUGACGUUUGUGGCUGCGAUAGGCUCAGCUCUGACAGGAGAUACCAAAGAAACUGAAUUCAGAACUUGGCAACCUAACUGGAUAAUAAAACUGUAGUCCCAAUCCUGUGGAACUCUCACUGAUGUCUAUGGAAGUUCUGCAUGUGGAGAGCUUACGGAAUCAGGCCAUAAUGUGGUAUCCUUUCCUUUGAUUUGAUUCGAUUCAGAUUAAAAGUUGAUGUAAAUGACAGUUAAGAGCGAGAAUGUGGUUUCAAUUCACAGUAG